rnacentral:tRNA from 3 species
CGGGGCGUGGCGCAGCCCGGUAGCGCACCUGCUUUGGGAGCAGGGGGUCGCUGGUUCGAAUCCAGUCGCCCCGACCA